UAAUGGACACGGCAAAACAGAACAAGCACAGUGGCCUGCCUCUGGCUUCCCACCUUCAUGGGAGACUGUCUUGUUUCACUUGUCUGGGGCACGUUGCCCUCCAGCACUUCUCCUGAGCAGAAGUCACAGACUGAGUCACAGCUGGGUGUUGUCUGGCUGAAGCUUCCUACCACCAAGUUUCAGAAAAAACUUGUGACCUGCAAACUUGACCUAUAUAAACAGAAGGUUUUUCUGUGCAGUAAGUGAACAGUUUGGCACAAAUAGUAAUAUGCCUAUGGAGAACUGCUCUACUAAGUCUGGUACUCAUCAUCGUGAUUUGUUUCCUUCUGCGAGUGCUGCCAUUCACUAAGCAGCUAGAACACAGGCGCAGAGGAUAGAGAUUAAAUGCCACUGUCUGCCUUCUGGAGUCUGAUUCUGCAGUUCAAAUUAUAUUCAGCUACAGAACAGCCAGUGCUCACUACAGAUUUGACUGCAAUGAAGAUGUGGAACAAAACAUCUGGUUCUCCAGGGAAAAUGGAAGGCAUCUCAGCCAUCUUCUCAUAGAUCACCUAUACCAGCAUUUGGCACAGAAUAGGUAUGUACAUAUAUAAUGCAUAUCUCCCUGAUCCCCUUUACUUACCAUUGUGUUGAGCAGAACAGAGGAAGGCCUGCCAUGUGGUCACAAACUUCGGUGCAUCUGGCCAUGACCUGCCUUUCUAGUUUCCAUGCAGCAGCAUACAAACAUUUCUUUCUGUUACGGAAGUCCUCAGAGUUCCUCUGCUAUUGAGUAAAAUGACUAAGACAAAUCUUAAAUGAAGAAAAUUAGCUUUAUUUAUGUAAAUUAGAAAAAUGAACUGUUAGAACUUUGGUCAAAUGGUUAAUUCUGUACAAUUUACAAUUAUAUUUAUAUACAAGACUUAA